AUUGAACGCUGGCGGCAGGCCUAACACAUGCAAGUCGAACGGUAACAGGAAGCAGCUUGCUGCUUUGCUGACGAGUGGCGGACGGGUGAGUAAUGUCUGGGAAACUGCCUGAUGGAGGGGGAUAACUACUGGAAACGGUAGCUAAUACCGCAUAACGUCGCAAGACCAAAGAGGGGGACCUUCGGGCCUCUUGCCAUCGGAUGUGCCCAGAUGGGAUUAGCUAGUAGGUGGGGUAACGGCUCACCUAGGCGACGAUCCCUAGCUGGUCUGAGAGGAUGACCAGCCACACUGGAACUGAGACACGGUCCAGACUCCUACGGGAGGCAGCAGUGGGGAAUAUUGCACAAUGGGCGCAAGCCUGAUGCAGCCAUGCCGCGUGUAUGAAGAAGGCCUUCGGGUUGUAAAGUACUUUCAGCGGGGAGGAAGGGAGUAAAGUUAAUACCUUUGCUCAUUGAC
rnacentral:rRNA from 1 species